rnacentral:lncRNA from 1 species
UACUUUGUGGGUGCAACAUCAACAAAUUUGCUCAUGAUCAAGUUACAACCUAAGAACUAUGACUAUAUUAUGUUAACUGUUCGUAUUUUGUUCAUUCCAUCGGUAUGCUCCUAGGUACCUGUAAAUGUGAUCUGUUUGCCAAAAUUUCUGCUUUGUUAUUCCCAUCAUCCGGUAACCACAAGAUGAUCCCAAUCUCCUUUUCUUGUAAGUUGUACUUUUUAGGCUGGAGCACUAACUGAAAUUCUCUGCAUUUCAACUUGGCUCCACCAGUACUUUUUUUUGUUCAUUCUUGAUCUCCGCUACUAUGAUCAGGCUUUAUCGUGUAUUAGGCCAGAUUAAAGGCUUCUAUGUAUGAGGUAAUACUAGCGGAGGUGUUUUUUUUUUGUGUGGUUGCACUGAAAAUUUCAUGGCCCAGAUCACAGUUAGGGCAUGUUUAACUGUGCCUUCAACUAGUUUCAAUUCCAAUGCUAUGUAUGGUAGCUCAACAACCAUAUCAAAGUUUGGAAACACCUUUAAAAAGGCACAGGGGGAUAGGCUUCCUAUGCACAAGCGCACUAAUAGUACUAGUUACUCCUUGAAGGCUCUCUUUCCAAAUCAUAGUCUCAAGUUUAUUGUGUUAAAGAUAUGGUUGCUUGCCAAAUAAUACUAAAGAAUAACAGUACAACUUUGCUGCAUUAAAGGGAUGGUUGCUUGCCAAAUGGUACUAAAGAAAUCAGUUUGAUCUGACCCACCAACAAAUCAUUACCAAUGUUGCUUUCCAAGCAGUAUUGUUGUUUCCCAUCCAUGACUAAGCUCUCUCUCCUUGCAAUUAGAAACGACCGCAUGCUAGCAGGCAUGGCUGAGGAGCCAAGAGAUGCUAAAGUGUGAAAAGGAAAUGAGGCCAAGUUUAGAAUUCAAGGCCUGAGGCCUGAAACAAGGUUGCCAAGACUAUCAGCUUGAUUUUUGAAAGAGGUCCAUACCAACCUUUAUUUUUUUAUUUUAUUAUUUAUAUAGAUUUUUACCAUUUUUAUUACAUUUGCACUAAAAUCAUGGUUUCGGAUGUUACCCGGGAAAAUGAGUGGAAGGCAACUCUAAGGAUCUCUCUACUGUAUAAUGCAAACGCUUGGGGGUGCAUCUCCAUUCCCUGAUGUUGCCAGUACUGCCCAAGGGACUCAUCAAUUAUCUAUAAAGAAGUGGAGGCAGAGGAUUAUGAAAAUUUUACCGUAGGACGACGGGAUUCAAACAAAUGGUCCACAUGAACAUAGACAAUAUCUAGUGCAAGUGAUUUAAUAGUUUGGCUUCAAGCCAAUACCAGGCUAUGCUGCAAAUGGACUAAAACAGAGGCAUGCUGAGUUACAAGCUGAGGAAAUUGGGAGAAAGCUAGAACUUUUACAAUACCACUUCCAGGUUAAAUACCAACCUCAUGGCUGGUAUCAAGGCUUUUUGUACUGGUGCUGGUACUUGUAUUGGUCGGGCGCCGGUACAAUGUAGUAUCAGUUCGGGUUCGGUAUCGUACUGAGAUUUGGUAUGGCUAGAUGUACAGGUUUCAAACUGGCACACAAAUUUUUUUUAAAUUUUUUUUGAUGGUUAUGAUGUUUUAUGAAGUUGUUGAGUGAUUUGAACAUUAAUUUGAUUUUUUUUUGAGGCGUUUCGAUGUUCUUUAAUAUGUCAUUUUUAUUUUACAUGCUUCUUGUUUAUAAAAUGACCAUAAUUUCAAUGGUAAAUAUAAUUAAAGUAUAUAAAUUAUUAUAUUCAUAAAAAAAUAUUAAAAUAUGGAGUAUAAAAUCAAUUUAAAUACAUACUGACAUUUAUAGUCUCGUAGAAUGGUGAUGUCUCUCUUAGAUGUUGGGGUCAUCUUCGUAUGCAGGAGGCUCAACCCAGUGCUCUAUUCACAUAAACCCCCGCUUUUGUACGCUCAUUGGGACGCCAUAAGAUACGCGGCUAAGAUAGUCCCUAUACAUGAUGUGGGUGACAGUGUCGCUCUAAAAAGAGUCAUCUACCUGAUACUGCAACUAUAGAGCAACCCAUCUGAAUAUGCCGUUAGCAAAUUCCGACCUGUAAGAUACUCCAAGCUUUGUAGGAUAAUAUAUACUAGAGGAAGAUAUGUUUGAAGUACCAUAUCCAUGAGGGAAAGCUAGCCUGUGGGUAAUAGGAUCUUGUGCAGAAUUCUGAACCUAAUACAUCGAGGAUCCUACCCCAUGUACUAUAUCAUCUGCAGUAGCCUCGUACCCACUAUGACCUUGAGGAUCCUAUUUUCUAUAUGUAAUCGUAUUCUUGCGGUCUCUCGAUCAUGCACUAUGGUCCCUAUCCCAUAUGGUGUAAGCAAAUUGGGACUCUCUAGUAAAUUGAAGACUACCCUAGGGCUAAGAGUCAUACAUGGUGGUCUGUUAUCCUCUCUAGUCACUAAAUGCAUCAUUAUUGCUACUGCCAUAUGAUGAUCUAUGCACCCAAUCAUGUAAGGGCUCCCUGGUGUCUGAAUCUAACUCCUCCGCUCUCACCAAUGGUGCCUUGCCUUUGCCUUUCUUAGCAGCUACUUUCUUUCUUAUCAGGCCUCAAUCAAUUUAGCUUUGCUGGGAGGAUCGACCAUGCCCUCUUGACUAAUUGGAUCGGGUAUCAUGGUGGCCUCGUUCAUGGGGACAUCAGAGCUGAUCAUCCACCCAUCUAGUCUAACAUUUUUAUUUGCAAUUUAUUUUAUUUCUGGGCUUGUUUGCAUUUUAUUGUUGUACGGCUUUAUUGGUGUUAUUUUAGGGCUUUAUUAGGAAUUAUUUUUGUGUAAGGGGUUUAUGUUAAUUGUUCUUGUUUGGGCCCUAUAUAUAGGGGUCUCUCAUCAUGAUUAAGGUUUCAAUGAAGUGAAUAAGAAUUUCUUUCCCCACGUCUCCUCUCUUCUCUCUUUUUCCCCUCCUUCUUCUCUUCCACCCCUUCUUUCCUUCAAGCACCUCAGGCCACAUCUUCUCCUUUCUUCUUUCCCCCUUCCUCUCUUCUUCUUCUCCUUUCUGCCUUCCCUCUCUCUCCUGUUUCCUUUCCUUCUUCUUCUUCUUCUUUCCCCCUUCCUGUCUUCUUCUUCUCCUUUCUUCCUUUCCCUCUCUCCUGUUUUCUCUGAUCUAUCGCCACAGCAGCCUUACUCGUCUAAGUUCUGCAUCAACAUCAGCCUCUCCCGUGACGGGUGCUGCAUCAGCAUGCCAAUUAGAAAAGCAAAUUAGAGAUUUCUCCCUCUUUUUCUCUGACUUCCACUUUAGAAAACAUGAUUACCCUAUUCUAUUUCUCUUCUCCACCUUUAGCCGCACACCGGCUGUGAUCUUAAGUGCCACCACCUACCACCUGAUGUUAGUCCUAUGGCCACCACCUACAAGCACCUCAGGCCACAUCUCUCUCUAAUUUUCAGUCAAAUACCCAUACUUUUCCUUGUGUAUUUCCUAUUUUGAUACCUAUUUUGGCCCUCUAUGUUCAGUCCUCCUCUGCUAGCCAUCGAUUUGAUUCUGCCAUCCAUCGUGGUUGCUGAUCUAGACUUUCGACCAUCAUCGUUACACAUCUGAAAUACUUUUUCUCUCUUUAGCCUUUUUCUUUGUUCUCAGACCUCCUUUUUCUCUCUAGAUGGUGGGUGAUCUCAAAAGGUCUCUCUCUCUCUUGCAACCUACAUUAUUCUCGGUAAAGGAUCUCGAUCCCUAGUCGACAUGCAGUGUGACAACCCUCACCUUGGUGUUUGUUGGGCAUUGUUAAACCACGUCAUUAAUUCUUGGUUUGUUGUUUAUAUCAUGGUUUGUUUCUUAUUCUAAAUAUUUACCGGUUGGAUUAACCAAAGCAGACCGACCUCGGUCCUCAGACAUUGUCACCUAGUCGACCUUGUGCCCUAACCUUUGUCAGCCAUCCAUGAAACCCAUGAUUAACAACCCUGGAUCUAUUACUCUUACCUUGAUUAGAUACUUCAUUUGAUGAAUCUGACCAUUCUGACCGAUUCGAGCUACUCAUCAGCAUCACUUUGUCGUCUUCAUCCUUCUUUUAUACAAAUAUUCUUUCAUGGCCGGCCUUGAUUUGUGUGGAGUGCAAUCAUCCAAAUAAGAAGUCUAGCAAAGAGUUUUAUGUUCUGGAGGCUAAUUUGGAGUGUGGAUUAGUAAACACUACUUGCGUUUGUCACUAAUAGAGGUAAGUAACCUAACACUUCAUAGUAUUUUUCUGUCAAAAUUUGUUAGAAGAAAUGAUGUUGUGAAAGUUACAAUUAGUUUAUUAAAAUUAUUUUAUGAUCUUCGUUUUUUUUUGAUAAAAUGAGUCAAGUAUGUUAUUAUUACUAUUCUAAUUGUUUUGUUUUUGAAGGUAAAACAAGAAUAUAGUAUGUAUUUAGUAUUUUUGUGAAUAAGUUAUUUUUGAACACCUGAUUAGUUUGAGUAUUGGAUUUGACAAGUUGUGUUAGAAGUAUGCCCUAGAAGCCAAUAUGGCAGACACAUUGUAUUAAUUCUAGGACAUAACAAUUGUACUUGAUUAUUUUAUUCAUCAAUAAAAUUGGGUCUUCUUUUCAUUCAUGUUAUUAUGUGUCCAUGAAUCGUCUUAGGAAUUAAUGAGAUAAUAACAUAGAUUCUCAAGAGUUGAGAAUUUAAGACAUGUGUCAUUAGGUACUUCCUGAACUGCUCCUGAUCGAAGGAUCAUCACGAAGGACGGUGAUCGAUCCGAUAAGAUUAGUACACAGAUCACUUUUCUUGAUGGACGAGUCUUAAGUCCACAGUGUGGCGACACUGGGGUGAUUGUGCAAAUGCUUAUUAGAGAAUAAGGGUACUGAGCGUGACCAAAGCAAGAAGUCACUUGGAUGUCUAUCCACUCGUCAGUGACUUACUUGAUGCUGCAGUUGUAUGACUAGUACUUAGACCUGCGUUGCCUCAGCUAAUCACGAUGAGGUUGCUGUAGUUUGACGAGCACAUAAAUAUUAGCCCUAAGGGUCAUUGUGGUGUAGAUUGGCUGCAGUAGGUUCACUAUCGGAUUAGAGCUGCAUCUAGAUGGGAUCUAUCAACCUUGAUAGAUUAGGAGAGAUCCUAUAUGAUUUAUGAGACUAAGUUUGAAAGAUCUUGGCCAGGGCAGUUCUGGAAAAGGAGUUUUUCAAUCUCGAACUUGAGUCAAAUAAAUCCGACAUAAGACAGACGAUGGGGUUUGACGAGUUAUCCAUAACCUCCGUCAUGUCGGAAUCCAUGAUAGAGGUACUGUAUCAUACGCUAACUGCACCUAGAGGUUCAUCCCUUCCAUUCUGCUGGGUUGUCACUAUAUGCUGCUAGGUGUCACUAGUGGAUUGCGAGACUCGAAGAUAUUCACUUGGUGAUCAGUGAACCCUAAGAGUAGAGUUGAAAUCGUUUCAACUCAUAGAAAGGAGUUUCGAUGAUAUUAUGAUAGAGAUCAUAAUAUAUCUUACUACCAGUCAGAAUAGAACCUACGGGGUCACACACAUUUGAGGUGUUGAUCGUUCCGAAGGUUGGAUUACGAUUUGGAAUCGAAAUUAAAAUUGAUUGUCAAUUUGAUUAACAAUUGGUUUAACCCGCUAAGAGUUAGUAAGUUAAAGAAGAAGGAAUUGCAAUUGGAUUGCAAUUUAAUUGAUUUAAUUGGACCUAAUUAAAUUAGGCUUAACCUUAUUGGAUAAGGAUGGGAAGGCCUAAUUAAUUAGAACUCCUUAUUAGAUAAGGAACUUGAUUCAUGAAGUCCAAUUCAAGUUCUAAUUAGAUUAGGAUUCAUAUAAAUCAAUUUGGAGGACAUAUUGGGUUCUAAUUGGAUUAGAAUUCAAUUGGUCAGGUGGGACCAUAUAAAUCCUAAUUUGAUUAGGAGACCCACGCAUGGAAGGAAGGGAGGGAACCCUCCCUCCAUGCAUGUGGAGCAAAGAAGGAAAGAAGGAGGGGCGUCCGCCCCUCCUCCUUCUCACACGCACAAAGAAAGGAGGGGAGUCCGCCCCUCCUUUCCUCUAAUGGCCCCACGCCAUGUGGAGGGGCAGAUGCCCCUCCUCCUCCUUCUGCUUCAUGCGGAUUGCCACAUGGCAUAUGCACAUCCCUUGGAUUCUCUUCAAACUCUUUUAAGUAAGGGUUGCGAUUGAAUUAAGUAAGGGGUGUUGCAGAUUUUGGAGGGAUGAAUCAAGGAGUGAUUGAUCUCUGAAAUUAUUCCUUAUUUGUAUGGGCAUGAGAUGCCUAUUUAAAGGGCCCUAGUGUGAAGCAUAAAGGAAUGGAAGCCCUCUGCUGCCGCGACCCUCCCCCUCCUUCUUCCCUUUGGCGUGAGCAAGAGAGAAAGAAUAAGAGCCGUCGUCUUUUUCUUCCUCCCCUUCGAUGUUCGUCGUCUUCCUUCUUCUUUGUUGCCCAAGGUGACAACCCAAGAGGGGGGGUGAAUUGGGUUUUCUAAAAAUUAUGUUCCCUAAUUUUUACUUUGAAUAGAAUGCAGCGGAAUGAUAAGAUGUUAUUUACUUAAGCUCUAGGCAAUUACAAGUAAAGCAGUGGAAAAUUAAGCUAGAGCAAUUAUACUAUGGCUUUAGGGUGCAAUUGAUCUAAAAUUAACUUAUAGUUGUAUGAUCAAUUUUAAUCUAUGUGUAUGGUAAGAAUAGAGUGGAAGCUAAGCAAAUUCUAAACAAUCACUUGUAACUCUAUAGAAAACAAAGCUAGAGAUAUUACACAAUCAAGUAUGAAUGUAAGGCAUGAAAUACAAGAGAUAAGGCAUCACAAACACAAAGAUGUAUAGUAGUUCGGUGCACCCCAGCACCUACAUCCACUCCCUAAGACUUCUUGAGAAUUUCACUAUAAUCCCUCAGAUUACAGUCGGUUGUUUUACAAGCUCACAACCCAACUUGUUGUUUUGCGAGAUCACAACGAACUCGGUCGGUUUUCACCGGAUCACCGACUAGAACCAACCGAU